rnacentral:rRNA from 1 species
AUUGAGCGCUGGCGGCAGGCCUAACACAUGCAAGUCGAACGGUAACAGGAAGAAGCUUGCUUCUUUGCUGACGAGUGGCGGACGGGUGAGUAAUGUCUGGGAAACUGCCUGAUGGAGGGGGAUAACUACUGGAAACGGUAGCUAAUACCGCAUAACGUCGCAAGACCAAAGAGGGGGACCUUCGGGCCUCUUGCCAUCGGAUGUGCCCAGAUGGGAUUAGCUAGUAGGUGGGGUAACGGCUCACCUAGGCGACGAUCCCUAGCUGGUCUGAGAGGAUGACCAGCCACACUGGAACUUGGACACGGUCCAGACUCCUACGGGAGGCAGCAGUGGGGAAUAUUGCACAAUGGGCGCAAGCCUGAUGCAGCCAUGCCGCGUGUAUGAAGAAGGCCUUCGGGUUGUAAAGUACUUUCAGCGGAGAGGAAGGGAGUAAAGUUAAUACCUUUGCUCAUUGACGUUACCCGCAGAAGAAGCACCGGCUAACUCCGUG